UACGUAGGGGGCUAGCGUUGUCCGGAUUUAUUGGGCGUAAAGCGUGCGCAGGCGGUUUUGUAAGUCUGUCGUGAAAUCCCCGGGCUCAACCUGGGAAUUGCGAUGGAGACUGCAAGGCUAGAAUCUGGCAGAGGGGGGUAGAAUUCCACGUGUAGCAGUGAAAUGCGUAGAGAUGUGGAGGAACACCGAUGGCGAAGGCAGCCCCCCUGGGUCAAGAUUGACGCUCAUGCACGAAAGCGUGGGGAGCAAACAGG
rnacentral:rRNA from 1 species